GUUGUCCUCUGGAGUUCCCUCAGACACUUCACUAAAGAUAUCUGAAGUAUUGAGGACGUUUCGUCUCUAAUGAAGUGUAUGGGGGAACUCUGGCGGGCAA
rnacentral:pre_miRNA from 1 species